CGCGGCCGCAGAGUUUGAUCAUGGCUCAGGACGAACGCUGGCGGCGUGCCUAACACAUGCAAGUCGAACGGAGAAUUCAGCAAUGGAUUCCUAGUGGCGAACAGGUGAGUAACGCGUAGACAACCUACCCUUUAGAUGGGGACAACACCGCGAAAGUGGUGCUAAUACCGAAUAUUGCUUGAGAAGCGCAUGCUUCUCAAACUAAAGAUGGCCUCUAUUAUAAGCUAUCACUAAAGAAUGGGUCUGCGUCUGAUUAGCUAGUUGGUGAGAUAAAAGCUCACCAAGGCAACGAUCAGUAGCCGGUCUGAGAGGAUGAACGGCCACACUGGGACUGAGACACGGCCCAGACUCCUACGGGAGGCAGCAGUGGGGAAUCUUCCGCAAUGGACGAAAGUCUGACGGAGCAACGCCGCGUGAGUGAUGAAGGUUUUCGGAUCGUAAAACUCUGUUGUUAAGGACGAAUGUAUAGAUUGUGAAUAAUGGUUUAUAAUGACGGUACUUAACGAGGAAGCCACGGCUAACUACGUGCCAGCAGCCCGCGGUAAUACGUAGGUGGCAAGCGUUG
rnacentral:rRNA from 1 species